UUGCAAAUGGUACAGAAAGCCUUGUUGUAUCCCCAGGUACAUUUUCCUCAUUGUGCUCUGCCGAAUGUUCUCCAGUCUUCCAAAAUCUACUGGGCUUCCAGUUAUCCUGGCCGAGUGUUACGGACUGGCAUAUUCCAAGAUCCAGGAAAUGUGAUGAUGGAUUCACUGGAGCUUGGGGCAGCUGAGUUACAAUGGAGUAAAGUCUAAGACUUCUCAGCUAUUUCGUACCACGGGCUGAAAACUCUAAAACCUCUUGAGAUGAUGGACAGGCUAUGAGGUGAUGAUUUGUUGUGGUGGUGUCCCUGUCCUGGAUCCAGAGGCCUGCGCUCAAGUCCUGACUCUCCAGGAGAUUCCAGAAACCACCCAGGUAUUGUCAAUAACAAGCUCUUCUAUCUCAACUGAGGCGAUGGCCUGCGAUUGAAGAAGAUGGAAAAUUCAAGACUAAUCUGUGGAAACCUUAUUUCAGUGAGAGUGCGAUCAAUCCUGGGGGAGAUUAUGGAAGCGACGAUCUUCAUUAAUUGAAAGCUGCCAUUUAGUGCAUGUCACUAUGAAAUUGAGAGAAACCAGUAAUUUUAGAUCUCAUGCUUCCAAAAGUCCUCUCUCAUUGGUAGUGCAUAGAAUAUACAGGAACAGGCCCUUCAGCUCACCUUGUCUACACCAAUCAUCAUGCCAUUCGAAAACUAAUCCCACAUGCCUCCACAUGGUCAUUAUUGCUGUAUCUCCUGCCUAUCCAUGUGUUUUUCCAAAUGCCUCUCCAGGUUGUCCAUUCAGCCUACUGGGUCUAUACUGAUUUAAAACCUAUCCAAUUUGGUUUCUCUCUCAGUUCAGGCAUUAAUUACGAUGUUCUCGUGUUGUAUUUACUCACUAGCUGUCUCAAUGUUUUCCUCUGUG